GAAGAAUGACAUGGAAAGGAAAGGUGGAAAUGUACUAUAAGCAUAAAGGAAUGGCAUGUGUGAAAGAUCAGGUGGGAGAAAUAAAGUGCUCCUCUCUCCAUCCUGCAUAGCAGCACCACAUGACUCUUCAUAAGGCUACAGUUCUCUCCCUUCAUUCUCCUGCUCCCUGUGCAUCUGAAGUUACUCAUUGCUGCUAGAAAAAUGUCCAAACUUUGGCUCAAUCCAUCUUCCAAGCCUCAGAGCAACAACAGUCAUUGAAACAGAUGCCAGUUGAAAUUGAUUGUGCUACUUACCUUCAGUUUCCUAAGCUGGAAAUACAGUAUUUCCUCAACUUUUGUAAGAUAUGAUGCUGCUGCUGAGACAAUGUUUGAGACUCUUCGAACCACCGAGAAUACAAAUAUAGGAACAAAGGUUUUAAAAUAAGCAUACAGAAAAUAAAAGAAAAAGAGUGUGAACUAAGUAA